AGCUGCCUUAAAUCUCUCCUAAGAGAAGGAUUUCUGAGGCACCCCUCCCUGGUGCAGAAACCUGAAGAACAGUGACCCUCAGGGCUACAAAGCACCAUACAUCAAAUGUUUCUACACUAACAGCA